GAGUAUGCGCCCUUUACCUUCCUUAUGCAUAACUUUUGAGAUCUAUACCUUUUGUCUGUCUUUGUGCGUGUAUGUGCGGAAUUCGAGCUGUUUUGAUUUUGUUAAAAAAGUCAAUUAGAGAGUGGAGGUUUACCUGUUGUGAUUAUUGUUCUAUUAUUUUUUUUAAUGUUAGAUUUGUUAGGAGAAUUGAAAUAUCUUAGGUGAAGCUAGCUAGAUUUUACGCUUCUUUUACAGUUAGUAAUUGGACUAUCUAAUUCUUUUUUCUUUUCAAUAAAAGAUGUUGAAACGCUUGACUUAGAUACGAAAUUUUACUUAUGAGAAGGAUUGCUUAUUCUCGCUGUUUAGUUAAUUAGAACAUUAGCCGAUUUAACUAUGCGUCAAUUCCGAAUUAAUUGUAUAUUCUUAUUUAGGUGAAUUCAGUGCACCUUCUGUGAGUAUGCUAUCAGUGGUUUACUUUGAUGUUCUCUGAUUUCUAUAUAAAGAGUGAAAGUUGGAAGGAGAAAACUAGUUCACGAGAAAAGCUUAAAAUAGUUCACGUUGUCCGCUGUAAAAAAUAUUUUAAUAAGUUGAUACUCUGUUUUCACUUCAUGCCUGGUGCAAUAUAGCCAUAGUAUCUUGAAAUAUCAGAUUGAAGUGUUUAUGCACUCAAGUGGUGGAGUAAGGAUUCCCUUUAGGCAUUACACAUUAUGUAUAACACAAACUAGAUGAGUUCUGAUUUGCAACACAUCACUACCUCUCCUUUUCCAUCCUAUCAUAGCAGUUGAUGUAAAAAAACAAGAACCUGGGAGAAUUCAUUCAUGCAUGAUGAACUCACUCUAAUUUUUGCUACCCUUAUCCUCCUUGUUCUGGUGCCUGUUAGUCCUGGUGCUUCUUUGUAUUUCCCUAAGUUGCACGGACUCUUCAAUGUUGGUGCCGUCCCCGUCCCGAUACGAGACUUGGACGGGUGCUGGAGCGGGAAAUGUCUUGGAUACGGUCAACCAACUUCGGACACUUUGACCGGAAUCCAUCGACAAAUUUGGGAGAAAAAAUUGAGAUUUUGAUUUCUCAAAAUAAAAAAUUAAACAGAUUUAAGUAAAGAUCUGAAGAGAUGAGAAACGAAAUACCUUCAAUUUCACUGCUAUGUAGUAAUUUAUACUAGUCCUUUUAUCUUCUUUGAAGCUUUUUGUCUUGGUCAAUCUUCUUGUUCUUGUUGUAUGUUUCUAAAAUCAAGAGCUCGUGGGAAGGGCUCGAAUGAGUUUUGAGUUUUGUACUGGAAAAAAAGACAAGACAUGGAAAAUGUUUUGCUGGGGAAAUGUCUCAGAGAUGGAAAGAGAAGAGGCAACAGAGAAUGGAUGAAGAAGAAAGGGACAAAUUAGGAAGUGAAUACUUUUUAAUUGACAGCACAUAUUUUUCCAAUUGUUUAUGAGAUAAUGGGGUUACAUAAUGGAGUGUUUCAGGCCUUUAGCUGUCUCCCAUCAAAUUACAAAAAGAAGUACUGUAACACUUUUAAAAAAGUGAGCUUUUUGACCAUAUUUAUAUACUUUUUGACCAUUUUCUCCUCUAUAACCACGUUAUGUAGCAAAUAUUAAUAUAAGUGUGCUUUGAGCUUCAAUUUUUUGAUUUGCGCAAAACAAAAAAGAAUAAAGAAGAAAAAGUUAUAUUUAUAAGAUUUUACUAGUUGUACAAAUCUAUAGCUCUAUUUUUUAUUAUUUUGAAUUUUCUUAGCCGUAUCCUGCACCGUAUCCAUAUACGGAUUCGCGCCCCCGAAUCUUAAAAUUUAGAUUUUGCCGAAUCCGAUACUCGGAACCGUCCCCGUAUCGGAUACCCGCACCCGAGUCCGAGCAACUUAGGUAUUUCCCCCUCCCUCAAGUCUGAACGAACUGGACAUGGUUGGCUAAGUUUGUUCUGAUAUUUGCUUUUUUUUUUUUUUUUUUUU
rnacentral:lncRNA from 1 species